CUAACUAUAAGCGUUCCUAUCAUGUUAUCAUUUGCAACAUUUGCCGCUCAGUUCCCCUUUUUAAUCAUCCUUGUUUUCUUCAUCGAAAUAGCUGGAUCAAACAUAUAUAAAUCAUAAAAAGUAUGAAGACAAUAACUCUAAUCAUCAUCAAGCCUGAGAAGUAAGCAUUAGUAUAAAUUCGAAAGGUACUUAAUUUACACUUUAUCUAAUGUAUAGAAAUAGGAAUUGCCUUCAGCUUUGUUCUUCAGUAGAAUAAGAUUAACAGAAUGAAAAACUCAAAAUCUUGACUUCUAAUUUAAUCAGCAAAAAAUGAUAAAUAAGUUACAAAUAAUUUCAAGAGUACCAUAAUCAUUGUUGACACAGGCGAUAUAAAAAAUUAGAGUAACAACAAAGCCAUCUUUUGUAUAAACAUCAACUGGAAGCUCAAUUCCAUAAACUUCAUCGCUAUGAAGGGUCUAUUCAUAUUCAGCAGACUCACAAAAAUUUUCCCAUCAUCCUCGUGAAUUUUAAAGUAGCAUCUCUCGACUUCUCGAAGUUGACCAGCAUGUUGGGUCCCUCCAACCCCUUCUCUAUUACCUUCGACCCGUAGAUUCCACCUCCAUCCCAACUCCAAACCACCGCAAGGUCAAAGAAAAAUCAAGAAACAUUUUUAAAAGAAGGAAAGUAGAGGACGUGUACGAAGAGAGCAGGAGCAAAAGGCCCUUUAUGGGAAGAUAUUUUAGAACGAAAAACGUCGUCGUUCAGAUCCAACUGGUUCAUGAACAAUACCAACUGGUUAGGUGUGAAAAGCAGGUUUCAAAAAUGAACAGUAAACUUAGGAUCCUCUCUUUUAUAGUAGUAGUGAAGUAAUAGUGAUAGUGAU
rnacentral:lncRNA from 1 species